CUACACAUGCAAGUCGACGGUAACAGGAAGCAGCUUGCUGCUUCGCUGACGAGUGGCGGACGGGUGAGUAAUGUCUGGGAAACUGCCUGAUGGAGGGGGAUAACUACUGGAAACGGUAGCUAAUACCGCAUAACGUCGCAAGACCAAAGAGGGGGACCUUCGGGCCUCUUGCCAUCGGAUGUGCCCAGAUGGGAUUAGCUAGUAGGUGGGGUAACGGCUCACCUAGGCGACGAUCCCUAGCUGGUCUGAGAGGAUGACCAGCCACACUGGAACUGAGACACGGUCCAGACUCCUACGGGAGGCAGCAGUGGGGAAUAUUGCACAAUGGGCGCAAGCCUGAUGCAGCCAUGCCGCGUGUAUGAAGAAGCCUUCGGGUUGUAAAGUACUUUCAGCGGGGAGGAAGGCGAUA
rnacentral:rRNA from 1 species